UCAAGGAAGAAGUAAUGACGGUACUUGAGGAAUAAGCAUCGGCUAACUCUGUGCCAGCAGCCGCGGUAAUACAGAGGAUGCAAGCGUUAUCCGGAAUCACUGGGCAUAAAGCGUCUGUAGGUGGCUCAUCAAGUUUGCUGUUAAAGACUAGGGCUCAACCCUAGGAAAGCAGUGGAAACUAAUAAGCUUGAGUGUGGUAGAGGUAGAGGGAAUUCCUAGUGUAGCGGUGAAAUGCGUAGAUAUUAG
rnacentral:rRNA from 1 species